GCCGGGGUGACAGAGAGGCCAUGUGGCGGACUGCAGAUCCGCAGACGGGAGUUCAAAUGUUACGCUCAUUAGGUUACUCCUACUGUGCGAGCGUGAAAAUCUCCCCCCCGGCUCCA
rnacentral:tRNA from 1 species